UUGAGUGCUCGCUUCGGUGAUACUAAAUGAAUGUUACAGAGAAGAUGAGCAUGGCCCUGGCACAAGGAUGACAUGCCCUAUAAGAAACACUAAAAGGAAAGUU
rfam:Cavia porcellus supercont2_136 genomic scaffold, whole genome shotgun sequence.